GGGCCAGGCCAGCCAUGAAGUUUCGGAGCAAGAUCAUAGAUGUGGCCUGUCUGAACCACUUCACAUGCUCCUUCCAUGAUACAAAACUUGCCAAAACCUGCACCCUCUGCAUCAGCCCUGACAAGCUGAACUUCAUCCUUUCAGACAAGCUGACCAGUGGAGGGGUGAGCAUGGUGUGAGCUGGAACAGGAGAAUUUCUUCAGUGAAUUUCAAAUGGAGGGUAUCUCCGCAGAAAACAAUGAGAUUUAUUUAGAGUUAACAUCAGAAAACUUAUCUUGAGCCUUGAAAACUGCCCAGAAUGCCAGAGACUUGAAAAUCAAGCUAAUAAACACUUUCCCUGUCUGACAGUGUCUGUAGACCUAUUAUCUGUGUCUAGCAGUAGCCACAUUGUGACACAUGACAUUCCCAUAAAAGUUAUUCCUAGAGAACUGUGGAAGGACUUACAAGAACCUGUGGUCCCACACUCUGAUGUUAGUAUUUAUUUACCAGUCUUGAAGACUAUGAAGAGUGUUGUGGAAUAAAUGAAAAACAUCAGCAAUCACCUUGUUAUUGAAGCAAACCUAAAUGGAGAAUUGAACUUGAAGAUAGAAGUUGAAUUAGUGUGUGUCAUAACUCAUCUUAAAGAUCUUGGAAAUCCUCCAUUAGCCCCUGAAAAUGCCUCACAAGACAGAAACCCAGAACAAAUGGCUGAAGUACAUUUAGAUAUUAAGAAGGUCCUACAAUUUCUUGUUGGACAGCAAGUAAACCCAACGAAGGCUUUAUGCAAUAUUGUGUGAAGCAAGAUGGUGCAUUUUGAUCUGCUUCAUGAAGAUGUCUCCCAUCAAUAUUUUAUCCCAACACUGUCCUAG